UGCCGCGUAGCUCAGUUGGUAGAGCAUUGGGGCUAGCAUUCCAAAGGUCGUAGGUUCGAUUCCCACCGUGGCCA